rnacentral:tRNA from 1 species
UGGCUCAGUUGGUAGAGCAUGGUGUUCGCAAUGCCAGGGUUGUGGGUUCAAUUCCCAC